rnacentral:rRNA from 1 species
UACGUAGGUGGCAAGCGUUGUCCGGAAUUAUUGGGCGUAAAGGGCGCGUAGGCGGCCUGGCAAGUGGAAGGUGAAAUCCCUCGGCUUAACCGAGGAACUGCCCUCCAAACUGCUUGGCUUGAGACCGGGAGAGGUGAGUGGAAUUCCCAGUGUAGCGGUGAAAUGCGUAGAUAUCGGGAAGAACACCCGUGGCGAAGGCGGUUCUCUGGGACGGUACUGACGCUGAGACGCGAAAGCGUGGGGAGCGAACAGG